AUCUCUAUUGCAAACUCUCCGCAUAGAGGCGCAUACCAGAGACGGACUGCUCUUACGACACCAAUGUCAACCCCAUGGUAAUCCUCAAAACCGUACAAGCUUGCAUGUGCUAGAUUAGACAAAUCAGAUAAUGACCCAGCAUUCACAGUAGAAGAGGCUGUCUCUCCAGAUAUCUUUGUGAGCAGGGACUCGGUCUGACAUGAAAACAAUAGGGACCCCAGAGGCCUGAGAUGCAUACAGCCAUGUAUUCGCCCUUGCAAGAGUGUCAUCCAAGUCAUUGUACCGAGAAGCAACUCGAUCCGAAACUUUAGGAAGGAGUAGUAUAGAAAGAAAGCAGCUAGAAUUCGGAACUGGUAGCACCUCCUGCAUCCUCAUCAUCCAUGGAUAUGACACAUAUCCGUCUUGAAGUGUAGCCCUGGAUAGUGCACUAGCAAUUCUGGAGCUUCUUGAACCUUGCAACUCGAAGCAAUCCGCCUCGGACCGAUCUGAGAACCCGACAGUAUAAUUGGGAUCAGCAAUAGACCUCAAAAUGUACUGCUUUUUAGAUCCGGACUCCGGCACGAUACACGCUUGCAACUCUGCGAACUCGUCCCGGCCUCGCCUGACUCGAACGAGAAUUGAAGUCUCUUUAUUCUUAAACGAGACAUGAAGAAUCUUCUGGACC
rnacentral:misc_RNA from 1 species